CCAGACUCCUACGGGAGGCAGCAGUGGGGAAUAUUGGACAAUGGAGGAAACUCUGAUCCAGCAAUUCUGUGUGCACGAUGAAGUUUUUCGGAAUGUAAAGUGCUUUCAGUUGGGAAGAAAUAAAUGACGGUACCAACAGAAGAAGUGACGGCUAAAUACGUGCCAGCAGCCGCGGUAAUACGUAUGUCACGAGCGUUAUCCGGAUUUAUUGGGCGUAAAGCGCGUCUAGGUGGUUAUAUAAGUCUGAUGUGAAAAUGCAGAGCUCAACUCUGUAUUGCGUUGGAAACUGUAUAACUAGAGUACUGGAGAGGUAAGCGGAACUACAAGUGUAGAGGUGAAAUUCGUAGAUAUUUGUAGGAAUGCCGAUGGGGAAGCCAGCUUACUGGACAGAUACUGACGCUAAAGCGCGAAAGCGUGGGUAGCAAACAGGAUUAGAUACCCUGGUAGUCCACGCUGUAAACGAUGAUUACUAGGUGUUGGGGGUCGAACCUCAGCGCCCAAGCAAACGCGAUAAGUAAUCCGCCUGGGGAGUACGUACGCAAGUAUGAAACUCAAGGAAUUGACGGGGGCCCGCACAAG
rnacentral:rRNA from 1 species